rnacentral:tRNA from 1 species
UAUAGAACAAUAGUUUACUAAUUAGCUCGUCAGGCUCAUAACCUGAAGGUCCCUGGUUCAAAUCCAGGUCCCGCAACCA